AGAGUUUGAUCAUGGCUCAGAUUGAACGCUGGCGGCAGGCUUAACACAUGCAAGUCGAACGGUAACAGGGAGAAGCUUGCUUCUUUGCUGACGAGUGGCGGACGGGUGAGUAAUGCUUGGGAAUCUGGCUUAUGGAGGGGGAUAACUACGGGAAACUGUAGCUAAUACCGCGUAAUAUCUUCGGAUUAAAGGGUGGGACUUUCGGGCCACCUGCCAUAAGAUGAGCCCAAGUGGGAUUAGGUAGUUGGUGGGGUAAAGGCCUACCAAGCCGACGAUCUCUAGCUGGUCUGAGAGGAUGACCAGCCACACUGGAACUGAGACACGGUCCAGACUCCUACGGGAGGCAGCAGUGGGGAAUAUUGCACAAUGGGGGGAACCCUGAUGCAGCCAUGCCGCGUGAAUGAAGAAGGCCUUCGGGUUGUAAAGUUCUUUCGGUGAUGAGGAAGGUGUUUGUUUUAAUAGAACAAGCAAUUGACGUUAGUCACAGAAGAAGCACCGGCUAACUCCGUGCCAGCAGCCGCGGUAAUACGGAGGGUGCGAGCGUUAAUCGGAAUGACUGGGCGUAAAGGGCACGCAGGCGGUGACUUAAGUGAGAUGUGAAAGCCCCGAGCUUAACUUGGGAAUUGCAUUUCAUACUGGGUCGCUAGAGUACUUUAGGGAGGGGUAGAAUUCCACGUGUAGCGGUGAAAUGCGUAGAGAUGUGGAGGAAUACCGAAGGCGAAGGCAGCCCCUUGGGAAUGUACUGACGCUCAUGUGCGAAAGCGUGGGGAGCAAACAGGAUUAGAUACCCUGGUAGUCCACGCUGUAAACGCUGUCGAUUUGGGGAUUGGGCUUAGAGCUUGGUGCCCGUAGCUAACGUGAUAAA
rnacentral:rRNA from 1 species